rfam:Sus scrofa chromosome 10.
GGUAAAAUGGCUGAGCAAGCAUUAGAGUAUAAAUCUAAAGAAAGAGAUGGAGCCCUCUUUUUGCCA